GACGAACGCUGGCGGCGUGCUUAACACAUGCAAGUCGAACGGAAAGGCCCUGCUUUUGUGGGGUGCUCGAGUGGCGAACGGGUGAGUAACACGUGAGUAACCUGCCCUUGACUUUGGGAUAACUUCAGGAAACUGGGGCUAAUACCGGAUAGGAGCUCCUGCUGCAUGGUGGGGGUUGGAAAGUUUCGGCGGUUGGGGAUGGACUCGCGGCUUAUCAGCUUGUUGGUGGGGUAGUGGCUUACCAAGGCUUUGACGGGUAGCCGGCCUGAGAGGGUGACCGGCCACAUUGGGACUGAGAGACGGCCCAGACUCCUACGGGAGGCAGCAGUGGGGAAUAUUGCACAAUGGGCGGAAGCCUGAUGCAGCAACGCCGCGUGCGGGAUGACGGCCUUCGGGCUGUAAACCGCUUUCGCCUGUGACGAAGCGUGAGUGACGGUAAUGGGUAAAGAAGCACCGGCUAACUACGUGC
rnacentral:rRNA from 1 species